rnacentral:rRNA from 1 species
UACGUAGGGGGCAAGCGUUGUCCGGAUUUACUGGGCGUAAAGCGCGUGUAGGCGGAGACGAAAGUCCGGUGUGAAAGCCCCCCGCUCAACGGGGGAAGGUCGCUGGAAACUGCGUUUCUUGAGGGCGGCAGAGGGAAGUGGAAUUGCUGGUGUAGCGGUGAAAUGCGUAGAGAUCAGCAGGAACACCCGUGGCGAAGGCGGCUUCCUGGGCCGCGCCUGACGCUGAGACGCGAAAGCGUGGGGAGCAAACAGG